UAUCAAUCAUGAUCCAGUGAUCAUCUGUAUCAUUCCGUGGCUGCCUGUCGUCUGUGUGCUUUUGUUACUGUUAGUGGUGUCAAGUGUCCAUGUGUGUUGCAGAGGAACAGGACUGUGGAAAGGUUGUGCAAGAACUAAUAACCUGCACCAGGACUGGAUUCACAAUAGUGUUAAGGGUAAUAUAAAGUUCAUUCAUUUUUGGAUAUCAGAAGAUGAUUGGACACUGGAUGAAGUUAUUUAUACACCACUAAAUAAUAUUUUUUAAAUAAUCAUUUUAAAAUUCCUUUACAUACCUAACAUCAUCUUUUGUGCUCAUACACAUUAUAUUGCUUGUAUAUUAAAUUGUAUCACACUGAAUGCUAAAAUGAAAAACAAAGCUAUGAAUGAAUCUUCAACUAUGUGUAAAAUAUUCUUUAACUUAAGCACAUGUAUUGCUCAGUAUCACCUGUAGUGUUGUCUUGUAGCUCUG